rnacentral:rRNA from 1 species
CUGGUUGAUCCUGCCAGACCCGACUGCUAUCGGAUUGGGACUAAGCCAUGCGAGUCAACUCCGCAAGGGGUGGCGCACGGCUCAGUAACACGUAGUCAACCUACCCUGGGGACGGGGAUAACCUCGGGAAACUGAGGCUAAACCCCGAUGGGCCAUGGCUCCUGGAAUGGGCUAUGGCUGAAAUCUACAUGGCCCCAGGAUGGGACUGCGGCCGAUCAGGUUGUUGGUGGGGUAAUGGCCCACCAAGCCUAUAACCGGUGCGGGCUCUGAGAGGAGGAGCCCGGAGAUGGGCACUGAGACAAGGGCCCAGGUCCUAUGGGGCGCAGCAGGCGCGAAACCUCCGCAAUGGGCGAAAGCCCGACGGGGUCAGUCCGAGUGGUUCCCGCUGAGGGAACCUUUUGCCAGCUGUAAACAGGCUGGCGAAUAAGGGGUGGGCAAGUUUGGUGUCAGCCGCCGCGGUAAUACCAGCACCCCGAGUGGUCGGGACGAUUAUUGGGCCUAAAGCAUCCGUAGCCGGCCCAGUAAGUCCUCCGUUAAAUCCAACGGCUCAACCGUUGGGCUGCGGGGGAUACUGCUGGGCUAGGGAACGGGAGAGGCGAGGGGUAUUCCCGGGGUAGGGGUAAAAUCCACUGAUCCCGGGAGGACCACCAGUGGCGAAGGCGCCUCGCUAGAACGUGCCCGACGGUGAGGGAUGAAAGCUGGGGGAGCGAACCGGAUUAGAUACCCGGGUAGUCCCAGCCGUAAACGAUGUAGGCUCGGUGUUGGGCUGCCUCAGUGGCAGCCCAGUGCCGCAGGGAAGCCGUUAAGCCUACCGCCUGGGGAGUACGGCCGCAAGGCUGAAACUUAAAGGAAUUGGCGGGGGAGCACCAC